AAUAAGUGGGAAGCUUUGUGCGAGCAGACCUUGAUUCCCGCGACAGUAGCUUGCUUUCCAUUUCUACCCCAGCGAUCCAAUGUUCUGCAGAAAUGGGACCGAGGCAACUUGCUGCCUGUCCGAAAAGGAGCCCUGCAUUGUAGCGCAAGACUGACGAGUCUGGUGCCUCUUCCAGAGACUCGCAGAAUCCGCCUAUAGAACUGUGGAUUAUUGCAGUUUGAACUGACCCCCUAGGACAACUAGAAGCGCUAGCCAGAAGCGUUUGUCAUGGGAUGCUUUAAUGCUUUGAAAAUUGUUCUUAACUGUGUUCUUCAGCGAACUGGAUAAGGAGACAGUAAGAUUGUUUAUUGAUUAUUUCCAUCAACAUUGCUUGGCAUAGUUGGCAGGAUAUCAGAAAAACCCGUCAGAGGUUAUCUGGAGUCUAUACUGGACCAGCGCCUUGGUACCAAGCACAGCCUCUUGAGCCCCCCUGGCUUCACAGAACCCUUCAGGUGCUUUGGCUCACAUGAAAGGGACUGAACCUGAGUAUUAGGGAAAUACCCUAGUUGACUUUCAUACAAAGACAACAACAGGAACUUCCCUGGUGGUCCAGUGGUUAAGAUUCCCCGCUCCCAAUGCAGGGGGCCUGGGUCAGGGAACUAGAUCCCGGGUGCUGCAACGAAGAUCCCACAGGCAACAAUGAAGAUACUGCAUGCCACAGCUAAGACCUGGUGCAGCCAAAUAAAUAAAUAAAUAUUUUAAAAAACAAAACCAAAGACAACACCAACAGAAUCUGUAAAGAUUAUGGCACGUGUAGAUGAAGUCCAUUCUGUUGUUUUUGUUUGUUUGUUCUUUCAUUCUGUUUUUGCAAAAAUUUACCCCUCAUUGUCACACUUUUGCCAUCCUGAUGUCCUGGUAACAUGGCAAGAGUCUGCUCCUAGAUCAGAGAAAUUAAGAUGGGUAAACAACAGCUGUGAAUUAAACAGUCAAGGCUAUGGGAAACCCAAAACAGCUUGGCUCUUCUUGGCUCCCUGGCCAACCCCAUCUUUUUGUAUGAAGGUUAAAGCCUGCCCUUGCUGCAAGCUGAUGCCCUCACAAUGAAAAAGAAACUUAGAAAAUGUGUUUUCCACUUGGGGUAUAGUUCUACAGUCUCCAGUGAUCAAGGCACCCACUUACUGGGCAAAUCAACAAAAAGCUCACAAACUUCUUGAAAUUAUCACUGUCAAUACUAUCACCCUCAAUCAUCAGGCAAUGUGGACAGAACUAAUGGAAAAAAACUGGACUCAAGUAGAACAAAAAUUAAUAUAUGGCUUUGAAUGAACUGAUAAAUAUGAUUGUAAUUUUACAACUUUUUGUCUGAAAUAUUACUAGCUUUUAAUCUUUGUUGUCCAGAUGCAAGGGAAAUUUUCGCCUUAAGCUAAUUAUGACUUACAGCAAUUUAGUAAAUUAUACCCUUGUUAAAAGAAUCGAAGCAUUUAUCUUUUUUCUCUACCUGAUC